UACGUAGGGGGCAAGCGUUGUCCGGAAUCAUUGGGCGUAAAGCGCGUGUAGGCGGUCCGGUAAGUCGGCUGUGAAAGUCCAGGGCUCAACCCUGGGAUGCCGGUCGAUACUGCCGGACUAGAGUUCGGAAGAGGCGAGUGGAAUUCCCGGUGUAGCGGUGAAAUGCGCAGAUAUCGGGAGGAACACCAAUGGCGAAGGCAGCUCGCUGGACGUUACUGACGCUGAGACGCGAAAGCGUGGGAGCAACAGG
rnacentral:rRNA from 1 species